rnacentral:tRNA from 1 species
GGUGGCUCAGUGGUAGAGCACUUGCCUUGCAUGCAAUUAGGCCCUGGGUUCGAUUCCUCAGCACCA